rnacentral:rRNA from 1 species
CAGCCGCCACGGGAAUACGUAGGGCGCAAGCGUUAUCCGGAAUUAUUGGGCGUAAAGAGCUCGUAGGCGGUUUGUCGCGUCUGCCGUGAAAGUCCGGGGCUCAACCCCGGAUCUGCGGUGGGUACGGGCAGACUAGAGUGAUGUAGGGGAGACUGGAAUUCCUGGUGUAGCGGUGAAAUGCGCAGAUAUCAGGAGGAACACCGAUGGCGAAGGCAGGUCUCUGGGCAUUAACUGACGCUGAGGAGCGAAAGCAUGGGGAGCGAACAGGAUUAGAGACCCCCGUAGUCCCUGUCUCUUAUAC